GUUGAUAUAAACUACAAAGUCCAGAACCCACACGCAAACAGGACGGAAAUGACGUUUGCAAUUGUAGGCUGAGAAGGCCGCAGUGUAUGGUGGGAAUUGUAGUUCUCCGUAAGCGGCAGAAAAUGCGUCUUGCCGGCCCGCCGGAAACCUGGUUGUGAGAAAGACUUUUAAAAAUUUACUUUACUUUAAUCUAAAAUUAUUUCUCUGAAGUCGGCAAAAAAAAAAAAAAAAAAAGUAGACCUUAAUGUAUUCAUUUUUCUGAGAAAAUCUAAGAGCAGACACCUUUCUCGGAUUUCCUAGUUACAAGAACUAUGUAAGUGAAAAUGUUACCAGAUGUUAAUUAAGUGCCUACUAAGUUCCAAAAUUUAAGCCCAAGUGAAUGAGAGAAUAUUGGACUGUAAACAGAGUGACGUAAUGAGGAGAAACUAAUUCUUUAGAGAAGAUGAUGUUUCUCUUUUAGGUUAAGGUACAAGCUCGUGAGAUAUCAUAAGGAGACAGCCUCGCUGACUUGGAAAUAGUCUGGACAGAGAUGAGAGGAAGCGGUGGCAUUGCUGCUGAAGCUACAGUGUCAUUCAACAACUUCCUCUCACCGUACUGCUUCCGCUGGAUGAAAGGCUGUUCAGUUCCCAGAAGAGAACAUCAUUUUUUAAUUCUGGGCCUGUUCACAAUCUAUUGCCUCUGUCUGGAACACUCUUCUCUCUCACUCCCCAAACCUUCAUUUAUCCUUUUUUAUUGAGGCUGUUCCUGACCCCUUAGCCUUGGCAUAUAAGAUCCUGUUGUGUGCUCCUAUGGGACUUCGUAUUACUCAGUAUUAAAAUAUACCACACUAGAUUGUAACUGCCUGAAUAUAUGUAUUUACCACUAGACAGGAGGCUCUGUGAAAGCAGAGACUGCAUCUUUUUUUGCUUUCCAUUUUCUAACCAACCAAAAGCUAGCACAUAGAGAUGCUCAAUAAAUAUGUAUUGAAUUAAUCAAUAAACCAAACCCUCCAUGUAUCAUUCAUAUCUUGUGGUAGCUGACUUUCUCACUUCAUAGUAACCUACAGAAGAAUUAUCUGUGUGAAUUUUAUGUCUCUCAUGUUUCUGAUCUACAGACGAGAAAAUUGUCAUUAAAAUAAUUUUAUCUGUUUUUAUUUCAGAAACUUUUUAUUGUUAAAUAUCUUUAUUUCAGUCCAG
rnacentral:lncRNA from 1 species